rnacentral:rRNA from 1 species
AUUGAACGCUGGCGGCAGGCCUAACACAUGCAAGUCGAGCGGGGUUUUCGGACCUAGCGGCGGACGGGUGAGUAAUGCGUAGGAAGCUGCCCGAUAGAGGGGGAUACCAGUUGGAAACGACUGUUAAUACCGCAUAAUGUCUACGGACCAAAGUGUGGGACCUUCGGGCCACAUGCUAUCGGAUGCGCCUACAUGGGAUUAGCUAGUUGGUGAGGUAAUGGCUCACCAAGGCGACGAUCUCUAGCUGGUUUGAGAGGAUGAUCAGCCACACUGGAACGGAGACACGGUCCAGACUCCUACGGGAGGCAGCAGUGGGGAAUAUUGGACAAUGGGCGCAAGCCUGAUCCAGCCAUGCCGCGUGUGUGAAGAAGGCCUUCGGGUUGUAAAGCACUUUCAGCGAGGAGGAAGGGUGGUGUGUUAAUAGCACAUCAUUUUGACGUUACUCGCAGAAGAAGCACCGGCUAACUCUGUGCCAGCCGCCGCGGUAAAAC